GAUGAACGCUGGCGGCGUGCCUAAUACAUGCAAGUCGAGCGAACGGACGAGAAGCUUGCUUCUCUGAUGUUAGCGGCGGACGGGUGAGUAACACGUGGAUAACCUACCUAUAAGACUGGGAUAACUUCGGGAAACCGGAGCUAAUACCGGAUAAUAUUUUGAACCGCAUGGUUCAAAAGUGAAAGACGGUCUUGCUGUCACUUAUAGAUGGAUCCGCGCUGCAUUAGCUAGUUGGUAAGGUAACGGCUUACCAAGGCAACGAUGCAUAGCCGACCUGAGAGGGUGAUCGGCCACACUGGAACUGAGACACGGUCCAGACUCCUACGGGAGGCAGCAGUAGGGAAUCUUCCGCAAUGGGCGAAAGCCUGACGGAGCAACGCCGCGUGAGUGAUGAAGGUCUUCGGAUCGUAAAACUCUGUUAUUAGGGAAGAACAUAUGUGUAAGUAACUGUGCACAUCUUGACGGUACCUAAUCAGAAAGCCACGGCUAACUACGUGCCAGCAGCCGCGGUAAUACGUAGGUGGCAAGCGUUAUCCGGAAUUAUUGGGCGUAAAGCGCGCGUAGGCGGUUUUUUAAGUCUGAUGUGAAAGCCCACGGCUCAACCGUGGAGGGUCAUUGGAAACUGGAAAACUUGAGUGCAGAAGAGGAAAGUGGAAUUCCAUGUGUAGCGGUGAAAUGCGCAGAGAUAUGGAGGAACACCAGUGGCGAAGGCGACUUUCUGGUCUGUAACUGACGCUGAUGUGCGAAAGCGUGGGGAUCAAACAGGAUUAGAUACCCUGGUAGUCCACGCCGUAAACGAUGAGUGCUAAGUGUUAGGGGGUUUCCGCCCCUUAGUGCUGCAGCUAACGCAUUAAGCACUCCGCCUGGGGAGUACGACCGCAAGGUUGAAACUCAAAGGAAUUGACGGGGACCCGCACAAGCGGUGGAGCAUGUGGUUUAAUUCGAAGCAACGCGAAGAACCUUACCAAAUCUUGACAUCCUUUGACAACUCUAGAGAUAGAGCCUUCCCCUUCGGGGGACAAAGUGACAGGUGGUGCAUGGUUGUCGUCAGCUCGUGUCGUGAGAUGUUGGGUUAAGUCCCGCAACGAGCGCAACCCUUAAGCUUAGUUGCCAUCAUUAAGUUGGGCACUCUAAGUUGACUGCCGGUGACAAACCGGAGGAAGGUGGGGAUGACGUCAAAUCAUCAUGCCCCUUAUGAUUUGGGCUACACACGUGCUACAAUGGACAAUACAAAGGGCAGCGAAACCGCGAGGUCAAGCAAAUCCCAUAAAGUUGUUCUCAGUUCGGAUUGUAGUCUGCAACUCGACUACAUGAAGCUGGAACCGCUAGUAAUCGUAGAUCAGCAUGCUACGGUGAAUACGUUCCCGGGUCU
rnacentral:rRNA from 1 species